ACAUACAUUCCAAUAAAACUAAAUUCAGUGAUAUUAAAUUAUUUCCCAUCAUAAUUUUUGAUAUCAUGCCUAAAUAUAAAAAUCUAUAGUAUCUUGGGUGGCGCAAUGAUCAAUUUGAUCAAGAGUCA